UGGGGAAUAUUGCACAAUGGGCGCAAGCCUGAUGCAGCCAUGCCGCGUGUAUGAAGAAGGCCUUCGGGUUGUAAAGUACUUUCAGCGGGGAGGAAGGUGUUGUGGUUAAUAACCACAGCAAUUGACGUUACCCGCAGAAGAAGCACCGGCUAACUCCGUGCCAGCAGCCGCGGUAAUACGGAGGGUGCAAGCGUUAAUCGGAAUUACUGGGCGUAAAGCGCACGCAGGCGGUCUGUCAAGUCGGAUGUGAAAUCCCCGGGCUCAACCUGGGAACUGCAUCCGAAACUGGCAGGCUUGAGUCUUGUAGAGGGGGGUAGAAUUCCAGGUAUAGCGGUGAAAUGCGUAGAGAUCUGGAGGAAUACCGGUGGCGAAGGCGGCCCCCUGGACAAAGACUGACGCUCAGGUGCGAAAGCGUGGGGAGCAAACA
rnacentral:rRNA from 1 species